GUUAAUUAAUUUUUUAAAUUAAAUACAUAUAUUAUUAUAUAGGUACUGUGUUUAAUAUAAUAAAUCUUAAUUAAAUAGGUACUUUGCACUUGUUAUAGAGCUAUCAUAACAAAUUUGUGAUGAAAUUUUAAAAAAGCGCCAAACGGAAAUAAAUUUUUGGGCUAUUUUUGCAAGAGAGUAGAAUAUACUUGUUUUUGUAACCAGCCGCUAUGAGCGCCACAAUCGAAUAGUAUACCAAUUGUAUACAAACUAUGAACGUUUCUAUCGUGGCGCUCGCAGUGGAUACUAGCAGAAACUCUUCCAUUACAUGAGUUCCCAUCCCUUUUUCUUUUCAUCGUAUUACCGUACUCUGCUUUUACAAAUUUGAAUUCGCGCACCGGUAACAACGCCAUUUUUUUCAUUUACAUCGUGUUAGUGUGUCAGUUAGUAACAAGAUUUUCUCGACAAUUUUAAAGAGUUUAGUGUAUAAAUAAUAACAUCAUUCACAGUAUUUUAUUUAUCAUUAAAUUAUGAAAGUUUAUAAACGGUACAAGUAGAUCCUUAUUAUAUUAAAAAAAUAAAACUGAAAUGCGAAAACAAUCAAAUCAAAAUGGGACCUUAUGAGGAUACAUUAAGGUUAGAAGGAUCAAGUGAUGUGAUAAUAAUCAAAGGAUGGAUGGAUGAAUCAACAAUAAAGGAUACAAGGAUCAAGUGAUGUACCCGAUAAUCAAAGGAAAGAUGGAUGAAUCUACAAUAAAGAAUGCGCUAUCGGUGAGUUAUCUAUUUAUAUUUCAAAUUUAUAUUUAUAUUUCAAAAAUGAAAAUUAACAUGUUUAUCAUACAAAUUUAUAAUUAUUCGCCUUUUAAUUGAAUUUAAAAAAUUAGAUUCAAUAUAUAUCUAAUUUAUGAUAAUUAUAUUUUAUUUAUAUUAUUCAUAAAUAUAUGAUUUAAGAGGAAAAUAGAUAAAAUUUUAUUUUCUAAACAAAUAGGCAUUGGGAUUAUAAGAAUAAUUGUUUUUUUCUAAAAUUUCGUACGUACACGUUUCAGUUUAUUAUUAAAUUAAAUGUUGACACAGGUUAUUUUAUGUCGUACAACGAGUUUGUGUAAUGGGUAGAGGUCCCUAUCUAUAAUAGUGUGUAAUAUAAUUAACAUUAUUUAAAUACAAGUUUGUGUGUAGGUGUAAUAGAACGAAUGGGUGUUUUUUUUUUUUUUUAUUAUUUUUAACUUUCUUAAAAGAUAAUAAUUAGCGAUCAGAUUUAAUUAAAAUGAUGAUCUUGAAUGCGAUGAUUUUAAUGCAUUUAUUGAUGUGUUUCCGCUUCUUUGGUUAAGUACCUCGAAUCAACUGUGGGGGGGUUUUUUUUUUCUUA